CUGUGUCCUUCUGUGAAAACCACAGCUUCUGUCAGGUGGCCCCCGAGCAGCUGCAGUUCCAGGUCUCUUCAAGUUCUGGACUAGUGUGAAUACAUUGAGACCCGUGAUUCCCAGACUCUCUAGGUCUGUGGAACUCUUAACAGGACAACAGUCCAUUUGCCUCAGUGGUGCCUACCGGCAACCUAAAAAAAAAAAAAAAAUCUCCCAUCAGAAUGCUGGGUCACAACCCCUUAAUGGCCUGAGAUCCACAACUGGAGAAGCUGUGAUCUGGUAGACUUGCCAGGGAUCAAUGUGAUGAAGACUGAGUCAUCUCUGGAGGUGACAGGAUAGGAUCACUCUGCUGCUCUGGAGAGAAGUGACUAAAGAGGGCGAGAAGGAAACAAUGGGGCUGAUCAGGAGGCCAUCCCAGCAGUCCAGACAAGAGAUGAUGGUGGCGUGGAAUAGGCUGACAGUGAUGGAGGUGGUGAGAAGUGGUCCAAUUAGCAGUAUCUACUUUGAAGGAUGAUGUCUCUGCAUAUCCAUAAUACAACAUGGAACGUGAGGUGCCAAGAUAGAGUACACGAUGUUGUGGAAACUCAGAUGAAAAUUACAUCUGGCUGGGGGAUGAGCUGGCACUUGAGCUGUGUUUUCAAGGAUGAGUGGGCAGAAAUGGUGAGGGAGGAGAGAACUUUCCAAAAAAAGGGAAAAGCAUGCAAUUGAAGGCAAAAAAGAGGGAAAGUAGAGGGCAUAUUCAGGGCCCAGAGGUAAUUCGGUGGAUAUGGUGGGCCUGAAAGUGUAGAACAGGAAUAUAGCUGACCUGGUAGGUUUAGGAUAAGUUAUUAUGGGCCUUGUGUGCCAUGAUAGCAUUUGGGCAACGGAGAGCCACUGCAUGUUUCUGAGGAUGGUUUUAUGUGAUCAGCACUGAGCUUUACAAAGUUCUGGGUAACUGGGGCUGAAGGGGAACCUGGAAGCCUCUGCUUUGGGCCUCAGUAGACUCAUUCGUCAAGCAGAUCUUUGGCCUUCUCAGAUCCUGCACCCUUUGUUCCAGCCAAACCAGCUUUCUUCCUGACCAGUGGACUAGCCAGAAACACUCCUUCCUCUCUGCCUUUGCUCAUGCAGUUCUCAGCACCCAAAGCUCCUCUCCAUUUAUCCAGAUCUUCCCCCUUCUUUGGCUCCUUGGCCUCUAUCGCUCUCUCCUUUCUAUCAAAGCACUUGUCUACACUUCUCACGUUGGCUCUUAACCUCACAGACCCACUGACAUUUUGUUAAGUAUUUCCAGAAUAUAGGCCUUCUCCCAUGAGACAGAAAUUCCUGUCGGUCAGGGACAUCACCUGGCACUCCCUUUGUUCUCUCCACAGUGUCAGGCACUCAAUAGCCAUUAAACUGACCAUUCCCAUUCCUCAUAAGUGAGUUUGGAAAGCCAAGGGUAGAAAGGCACUUGUCCAGACACACUGAAAUCCAGACACAAAGCCAAAAGGACCCACUUCCUGCCUCCAACUCUCUUCCUAUUACUCCACUUCCUGGCCAUCCCAGCAAUGAACACACUUAGGUUUUGCCUUCCUUGGAACUAUCCUAAGGGGAAUAACCCUUGCCUUGGGAAUAGGAUCCCUGUAAAAGUAAAAGCACCAAGUCUCUGAUUUCCCUCAGGGAGACAGGGAAUGGCCUGGGUCAGAUUCCAUCGGAUUCCAUGUCCUCCCCAGUCUGCCUCGCACCUUGCCCCUCCCCCAGUGCUCGGUAUUUGGUUGGCGGGUGGCUUCCCCAGCUCCCUAAUCCAGGCUGUCUGCCACACCCUAUAUGGCUUUUCAUGGAGAGGGUUUACUUUAGGGGAUUCUACUCUGGAGUGCUUGUCCCAGGCAGCCCUCCACCUCGACUUGGUAACCGCCCAAUAGGUUCAUUUUACCCACUUCCCAGAUAGAACAGAUUUAUCAACGGAGGAAUUGCAAUAAUUCACGCAGAGCUGGCUGAUCGGGAGAAGAGAGUUUUAUUAUUACUCAAAUCAGUCUCUCUGAAAAUUCCAGACUAGU
rnacentral:lncRNA from 1 species